rnacentral:rRNA from 1 species
GACGAACGCUGGCGGCGUGCUUAACACAUGCAAGUCGAACGGUGAAGCCCUUCGGGGUGGAUCAGUGGCGAACGGGUGAGUAACACGUGAGCAACCUGCCCCUGGCUCUGGGACAACCACUGGAAACGGUGGCUAAUACCGGAUACGACCCGCCUCGGCAUCGAGUGUGGGUGGAAAGUUUUUCGGCUGGGUAUGGGCUCGCGGCCUAUCAGCUUGUUGGUGAGGUGAAGGCUCACCAAGGCGACGACGGGUAGCCGGCCUGAGAGGGCGACCGGCCACACUGGGACUGAGACACGGCCCAGACUCCUACGGGAGGCAGCAGUGGGGAAUAUUGCACAAUGGGCGAAAGCCUGAUGCAGCGACGCCGCGUGAGGGAUGACGGCCUUCGGGUUGUAAACCUCUUUCAGCUCCGAAGAAGCGAAAGUGACGGUAGGAGCAGAAGAAGCACCGGCUAACUACGUG